GGAUGUUAUCAUAGUAUCACUAAUGCAUUUGAUUCCACCAGAACUCCAAAUCUAAGCAUUCUUUAGCAAGAGCAGAAUAUGACUGGUGACCCCUUGAGAAAUUAUGUGCUGCAUCUU
rfam:Solanum tuberosum cultivar DM 1-3 516 R44 scf00150_31, whole genome shotgun sequence.